rnacentral:snRNA from 1 species
AUACUUACCUGGUAGGGGAGAUACCAUGAUCAUGAUGGUGGUUCACCCAAGGUGAGGCUCAGCCAUUGCACUGAGGCUGUUGCUGACCUUUGCGAAUUCCCCAAAUGUGGGAAACUCGACUGCAUAAUUUCUGGUAGUGGGGGACUGCGUCUGCGCUCUCCCCUG